GUGAAGCGGCAUCAGCUCAAAUUUGAAAUCUGGCUCUUUCAGGGUCCGAGUUGUAAUUUGCAGAGGGCGCUUUGGCGUUGGCAGCGGUCCAAGUUCCUUGGAACAGGACGUCACAGAGGGUGAGAAUCCCGUACGUGGUCGCUGGCCUUCGCCGUGUAAAGCCCCUUCGACGAGUCGAGUUGUUUGGGAAUGCAGCUCUAAAUGGGAGGUAAAUUUCUUCUAAAGCUAAAUACUGGCCAGAGACCGAUAGCGCACAAGUAGAGUGAUCGAAAGAUGAAAAGCACUUUGGAAAGAGAGUCAAAUAGCACGUGAAAUUGUUGAAAGGGAAGCGCUUGCAGCCAGACUUGCCUGUAGUUGCUCAUCCGGGCUUUUGCCCGGUGCAUUCUUCUGUAGGCAGGCCAGCAUCAGUUUGGGCGGUUGGAUAAAGGUCUCUGUCACGUACCUCCUCUCGGGGAGGCCUUAUAGGGGAGACGACAUGCAACCAGCCUGGACUGAGGUCCGCGCAUCUGCUAGGAUGCUGGCGUAAUGGCUGUAAGCGGCCCGUCUUGAAACACGGACCAAGGAGUCUAACAUCUAUGCGAGUGUUUGGGUGUCAAGCCCGAGCGCGUAAUGAAAGUGAACGGAGGUGGGAUCCCUUAAGGGUGCACCAUCGACCGAUCCUGAUGUCUUCGGAUGGAUUUGAGUAAGAGCAUGGCUGUUGGGACCCGAAAGAUGGUGAACUAUGCUUGAAUAGGGUGAAGCCAGAGGAAACUCUGGUGGAGGCUCGCAGCGG
rnacentral:rRNA from 1 species